AUUGAACGCUGGCGGCAUGCCUAACACAUGCAAGUCGAACGGCAGCAUGAUGUGUAGCAAUACACAUUGAUGGCGAGUGGCGGACGGGUGCGUAAUACGUAGGAAUCUCCCUCGAAGCGGGGGAUAACCCGGGGAAACUCGGGCUAAUACCGCAUAAUCUCUAUGGAGCAAAGCUGGGACCGUAAGGCCUGGCACUUCGAGAUGAGCCUACGUCGGAUUAGCUAGUUGGUAGGGUAAAGGCCUACCAAGGCAAUGAUCCGUAGCUGGUCUGAGAGGACGGCCAGCCACACUGGGACUGAGACACGGCCCAGACUCCUACGGGAGGCAG
rnacentral:rRNA from 1 species